GAGUGAGCAGGCUGGCAGUUUUGGAGAUGGAAGAAGUGAAGUGCUUGUGUGUUCCCCAUCCUCUGAGGGCACCUGAGGAGAGCCCUGUCCCAGCACAGCCUGCAGCACCACUUGGGGAAGCCUCCAGGGUAGCAGCAGGUCUUAUCAGCUGUGACUGGAGAUUUUCACAUGCUGUAUAGAGCAGCGCUUAUCAAACUGUCACCUUGCCUGUUCUCCCCGACUCCCUGUGUCCUACAGCGCAUACCACACUGUGCUUGGGAAUGCAGAGCAAUUCAAUCAAGAGGAAAAUACACCAUGAAAAGCUCUGAAAGCCCUGAGGUCAAGGAUCUGAAGUUACCCACAAUAUUAAUGACAAACCAGUGGCUGCGCCAUGGCAACGGACAGAAGAAUAUGUGGCGUGGAAACCGGUGUAUCUGUGCAGAUGGGAACAGGCAGAACCAAGUCCUGCUUCCCUGUUUCCGAGCUGGCCAGACACAAGCUGGUUCUGGUUCAGGUGCCGUGGAAGUGCAUUAGCAGAGUGCGGAGCCAGAUCUAAUACUCCCUGCCCUGUGGCACAGUUUGAUGCUCUGGACAAGAAGCUUCAGACUUGAAACAACCAGAGUGUAAGGUCCUGCAGUGUCUCUGUUCAUAUCCUGCUUGCUUUGCAAAGUGCUCAUUCCUCCCACAGACUGCUUGGAAGCCUGUUUUUUCUGAUAGCUCAUUUACUGGGAGUGUAACCUGACCUUUAAAGGCUUCAUGUUCAAUUAUUCCUGUGCCACUUUCUGGUCACAAAGCAAAGAUCUCAACAGCUGAGGAGGCAGUGCAGCUGAUGAAGAUGUUUCCAGCCAAACCCCUUAGCAGAAGGGAAAAGAAACACUGGAGUUUCUCAGAAAGCCACAGGCAAAUGAGUGAUCUCUUAAGGAGUAUCCAUUUGUACCUCUCCACCAACUUGCCUCUAGGUCAUAACACCCUUUAUAAGAAGUUUUAUAGUGUUUCCACUAUUGUGGUUUGGGGAUCUACCAAUAAUGGAGUCUUUAGGGCAAAAUAAGUAUGAUUAUACCUGUCAACCCCACUGACUAUCUUCGUAUGCAGCUUGCAAGGUUAUCGCAUAAAUAAUUGACGCCAUGGUUCAUAUUGUGCCAUUGAUUAGCUAGCUGCUGACUGAAACAUCCACCCAGUGCUUUGAAGAUGAAGUGCUGAAUAUUUAUUGUCAUCAUCAUACUUCUGGCUUUCAGUUCCAUGGAGAAGGGCCAGCACUGAAGCUCCAGCUCCAACCACCCUGAACAUGGGUGUUGUUUGGAAGCUGAUCUACAAUUGGGUUCCAAGUUUAGCAAAUUUUUAUCAUGGAGUGAAUAAAACCCCAGGUGUGACCA
rnacentral:lncRNA from 1 species